AUCACUAGAGGGCGAUACCACUCGGGAGGAUCUAAAACCCUGCAAGGGCAGAAACCUGCAGAUGAAAUCCUGCAGUUGAGCUACAAACAAGCUAACAUUUCUGCCUCGUGUGUUUUUCAUAAUACAGAGGUAGAGUCUGCUGCUGGCCCAGGUACCCCUAGGCCUGAGGCCAGUAACAUAUGCAUGCCAAUAUUCACUCACAUGCACUUAUCACACUAAGGUAUGUAGGCCCACAGUAUUCAUAAUAUCAUGUGUAAAAUAUCAGAAAAUAAUCACACUUUUUUCUGACUAUAAAGGUUGUGUCUCGUAUGUAGGUUCUAACUGUUAGAUAAGCUAUCUGGCUGUGUGUGGUUUGUGAGGGCUGUGUAAACAGUGUCCGCUGUUUAUUACAUUACAUUACAUUUAGCUGACGCUUUUAUCCAAAGCGACUUACAAUAAGUUUAUGCAUAUUGGAUACAAAUCGUUAUUGCACCCUUUAGAUUUGAGACCGACAGACAUAUAGAGGAACGGACCAACUGUCACUGCCCGUCCCUGAAACCCCUAUUAGUGUUUGUAUGUGUUUGUUUCUACUGUCUCUUCUCUCUCUCUCUCUCUCUCUCUCUCUCUCUUCUCUCUCUCUCUCUCUCUCUCUCUCUCUCUCUCUCUCUCUCUCUCUCCCCCCCCCCCCUCUGCCUGCUGGUCUGCUCAACACUGCUGGGAGGAAUCUCCAAUCAACCACACCUGCAACCUGCUCAUCAGCCACACUAUGAAAGCCUGCAGCCUGCACUCAUUCCCUGCCGGAUUGUUACCGUGAACGGAUUGUUGCUGUGAAUGGAGGAAUCCAAGGCCUUCCACACUCCCAAGACCAGCCAGGCCUCUCCACCCUGGAAUAACUGUUUCCCACUGCUGCCAUAACCAACCUCCACUCCCAGAUCCCCUUUUCUAAUAAACAAAUGUUACUUUCACCA